CGGGAUGUAGUUCAGUUGGCUAGAACGCUCGCUUUGGGAGCGAGAGGUCCGCGGUUCGAGUCCGCGCACCCC
rnacentral:tRNA from 1 species